CACAACAUGUCGACACAGUGGGGAAUAAAAACGGAAAAAUGCUGGAAACAUUCAGCAGGUCAAGCAGCAUUUGUGAAGUACUGUUCCCAGUUCUGAUGAAGCCACGCGCUGAAUGUUCGCUGGGGCAUAGAGACUCAGCUGAUCUUUAAGAAAGUCGCAUGGGAACCUGAUUCGUAAAUCAUACCCUAUUUCUGAUAGAGACCGUACAGCAUAGCUGAAGGGACGUGGGGUAUGACUAAUACAUAAGGAAAGCAAAGCUCACCCGCUAUCAUUUGAACUGAGGGCUGAACAAGCCCAAUUUUCACGGACAGCAGGCCAGGCAGCAUCAGAGGAGCAAGGACAUUAUGCCACAGUGUAGAAGUCAUGAAUUUGUGAAGAAGACAUAAAUGCACGCAAAGGGGUUAAUGACGGAUGUCACAGCCACUUUGAAAUACAGAACAGAUGUGUAUCUCAGCCACCGUCUUGCAGGAAGGCCUGGUGGAGUGAUACCAUCAGUAAGUUUUCUAAUAGAAGCGGCAUGAAUAGGUGGAGUCAGGCUCCCACAGACUGCCUCAGUAGCUGAAAAGUCACGAAUGGUCCUUUGCAAUUUUCAUCUCUACUUCUGUUGAAGGGAAGGUCACUGAUGAAGCAGCUGAAGAUCAAUGAUCCCAUCCCUGAGGACCUCUUGCAGCAAGGGCCCAAGAGAGAGUUGGUUGGUUUCUACCAACCACAACUAUCUUGCAUUGCACCACGAAAGACUCUACCACUGAGAAGUCUUCCUCCUAAUUCCCAUUGAGUGUGACAAGAAAAAGAAGAUUAGCUCAGGUUGCUGCUGCUGUGUGUAAUAAUGAGAUGAAGAUGUCACGUAAUUGGAUUGUGUCAAAGAAUUGUUUUGCGGUGUUUUAAAAUGUUAAGUCGAUCUAACGACUGCAAGAAGAAAUGUGACACAAGCUGAUAUUGAUUAAUUGUGUCCAUGUUUGUUAUCUUUCAAAAUUGGGACUGUUAACUCUUUCCACUGGCUGCUUGUUUUUAUGUUUUCUAAUAUACUAUCUCAAUGUUUAAUUCACCGAGGAACAUUUGUAUUGAAUGAGCACGUGAAGAUUCUGAUACUAUCUAGUGAUGCACAGAUGUCACCAGGGAUAUGCAAUUCACUGGAAAUUGAUAUGAGAUUUCAUUGGCUAUAUAUUGUAUGAAAGAUAUUAUCACACUAGUGUGUGUGUAUUAAUAUCCAUCAGGAUAACAGCGACAUAACAUCUUGUGUGGAAUAAUCUCACUCAUCCAAUAUUGAAAUGGAAAUGCAAAUGAAUGUGUAAAAUGUGGAAAUGGGGUUUGGGGAUUGUAUGCACUGAAUUUAUGCCCCUAUAAUCAUUUCUUUAUUGUAAAUGUUCGGAAAUCAUUUGGAAAUGAGAUCUUUUUCUCAUCAAUCUCAUUUAAUUAUAGAAUGUGCUGGCUUGUGAUUUGAUAAACAAACCUUUGAAUAACAUCCUGAGAAUCUGAGGAACUGCGACACUACUUUGAUUUUGUUCCUGUUGUACUUUUGAGAAAAAGACGGGGAAAUAGAAUUCAGACUAGGAA